rnacentral:rRNA from 1 species
CAGCCAUCAUUUAAAGAAAGCGUAAUAGCUCACUGGUCGAGUCGGCCUGCGCGGAAGAUGUAACGGGGCUAAACCAUGCACCGAAGCUGCGGCAGCGACGCUUAGGCGUUGUUGGGUAGGGGAGCGUUCUGUAAGCCGUUGAAGGUGGCCUGUGAGGGUUGCUGGAGGUAUCAGAAGUGCGAAUGCUGACAUAAGUAACGAUAAUG